UGGAAAGUGCCUUUUAUUCUCCAUCACAUCCUCAUCAUUAUCUACAUUUGAGGACAAGUCCUCUGUAUCAUAAUCUUCAUUUAUCUCAUGUUGUCCAACCUCUUCGUUAAUGACAAAUGCCGCCUCACUAUCUUCAAAUCUGCUCCUAACACUUUUCUUUUUCUUUUUCAUUUUCUUCCACCUAUCCAAAACUGGAUUAAUAUUUCUUCUCUCU
rnacentral:lncRNA from 1 species